UACGAAGGGGGCUAGCGUUGCUCGGAAUGACUGGGCGUAAAGGGCGCGUAGGCGGAUGGCACAGUCAGAUGUGAAAUUCCCCGGGCUUAACCUGGGGGCUGCAUUUGAUACGUGUUGUCUUGAGUUCGGAAGAGGGUCGUGGAAUUCCCAGUGUAGAGGUGAAAUUCGUAGAUAUUGGGAAGAACACCGGUGGCGAAGGCGGCGACCUGGUCCGACACUGACGCUGAGGCGCGAAAGCGUGGGGAGCAAACAGG
rnacentral:rRNA from 1 species